rnacentral:lncRNA from 1 species
GUCUUAAAGUCUUCAUCUUUAAAAAAACUAAUGCGAAAGAAAUUUUUAUUAAAAUCUGAAAACCCAGUUGUCCAAAUUCUGAUUGAAGUGGAAAGCAGAUACAAAAUUCAGAAUUCCAGCACUACAAAAUGUACAAGCACACGAUGCCAGAGUUCUGAGAGUGAGAUUUAUAGAUAUGUCCAAAGAUUAUCUCAUACAUGAAAGAAGAAUAAAGCUCUUCAUCCUCUCAACUAUGCUCAAUUUAUAGAUUUGAUCUAUACCCUACACAUUUAUUGAGUUCAAAAGAAAGAACAAAAUUAUCCCACCAAAUUCCAAUUCCACACCAAAACGCCAUUCUCCUUGAAUUAUACAAAACCAGUAUUCUGCACAAUUGUUCAAGGCUGCUUCCCUGGAUACCCUUCUAAGCCUCCUCAGAUGCGGUCUCUUUUCUGUCAUCUCUACUUCCCUAGGACCCAUUACCUGAAGAAGCUCUAAUGUCUAAUGCGGUUGCAGCUGGGUCCAGCUCUGAGAAACCUUUCAGUUAUGGAACUUGCAAACAAGAAAAUAUAGAAUGAUAGCUUUUCUUGACCAUCAUUACUUCCCUCCUGCAUUUCUAGUAAAUUUGGGAAAGCAGUGAAGUCUUAAAAAUAUAUUUAUGCAAUCUUUGCCACGUUAAUCAUAAUUAUUGAUUCUAGUAAAAUUUGGACUGUACAAGCAAAUUAAUGAAUUCUAUGACCGUAUGCCAAAGUGAGUCGAAGAAAAUUUCCAGAAAACAUCACACAGAACUGAACUAAACAGAUCGAGGGCAUUUUCUUACAUACAUUUAAUGUAGUUAAAUGACUAUUUCAUUUCGCUGCUAUACUAGUAGGUAAUAUCUAACAAGUUACAAUAAUAAAUUUUAAUGAUGAUCAGGGGUGUGUCAAUAGGACUGUCACGAGUUCUCUCAGAUAGGUAACUUGAGCUAUACUAUUUUCUUAAAUGUUACCUUAUCUUAGAUAUGGACUGACACAGAUGGAAUUACAAGAGCCUAUUAUUAGAUAAAAACAUAAAUUGACACAAUAAAGCAACUUUUGAAUACAGUGUAACAUGCAGAACAACCAAGAACACUUUUCCAUUUAAUAUAUAACGCCCUUUGAAAUUAAUAUAUUCACAAUGUGGCAUCUUACAGUUUUGACUUCCGUGGAUAUCAUGAACAUGGUUGGUUAGAAGUUCUCAUUCCCCAUACCAGUGAGCACAUAGUUUAAAUUAAAAAUAAUAAGUCAUUUCAAAGCAAGAAACAGAUUAUGGGAUAAAUAAUAGGGCAAGUAGAACUUACUCUUAAGAGACAGCGCACCUAAAAUGGUUCGUGCAACUUGGCAAAUGAAGAAGAGUUCAUUUUGGAUUCCACUGCAAAAGUUUAAUGGCCAGCCGUGAACACAGCUCAUCUAGAACCAGUUACAUCUAACUGCCAAAAAUAAGGUGAAAUCCACAAGUAGAGUCAAGGAAUGGAAAUCAAGAUUAUUAUGUUAGCGCCAGAUCAUUCAAUUCUCCUACCCAACUACAAGAAUAAAGCCUUCAACACUCUCGAUGUAAUUAAUAUUCCAAAAGUUGAACCAGCAACACAGAGAAAAGAUCAUUCAAUUCUCCUACCCAACUACAAGAAUAAAGCCUUCAACACUCUCGAUGUAAUUAAUAUUCAAAAGUUUAACCAGCAACACAGAGAAAAGAUGCGGACAAUCAGAAAGAGUUGAGAGUAAAGGCAACCUAAUAAUAGGCAGAAAAAACACAAAUGCAGAGAUAAUUAAAAAACAUUGAGAUCACAUCUGUUGACUCAAACCCUCCUCCUUUUCCGGGCUUGGGACCGGCUGUGUCGAGCAAACAUGCAACACAGGCAGAGUUAAAAGAGUCAACUACAUAAAACCAACACACACACACAAUGAAACAACUUUAAAACACAGUAUAGUAUGCAGCAAAUCCAAGAACAUCUUGCCAUUUUUUUUAAUAUUGUCUUGGUUCCCUUAAAAAUAUGACUUACCAACAACCAGAAUUGUGCAUAGAUGUUACGAAAUAUUGAAAGACACAAAAUAGUGAAUUAGAUGAGAAAUACUGGUAAAAUGAACUUUCUAGUUCCAAGUAUCAUUUAUAUUUCUCCACCAAUUCCUCAUUUUAUGGGCCAGUAGUGGGAUUAUACAGAAGUUUUGUCUACGAGCAAAAUAUGCAAGCGUGAAAUGGACUUAUUUAUGAUCAUGUAAGCAUCUACAUACUUGACACUGUCAAUCUAACUUGAUCCAAAGAAUAAAAAACCAAUUUGUAACAACAAAGGGUAAUCAAAGAGACUGAAUAGGGUAUGAGGCAAAAUUUUAGAGUAAUAGUUAAAUGGAAAAAAUAUUGCGUACUGAAUAUGCCUCCUAGUAAACUUGUAUUUAUAUAUCCUUUGGUCCGUCCGCCAAACAAUAAUUGACUGUGCAGGGAAAAGUGUGGAUUACAGUGGGGGAGAGCUCCUUCGAACUUGCUAGUCAAAACCAUCCAUAUCGAGCAUAUCGUCAUAGGUGUUGAUUGUUAUUAGCAAGCUAAUAGUGCAUGUUCUGUAUAUUUCUGACACUUAAUAUUUCCAGAGCUGAUUGCAACUUUCCUCUUCGAUACGGAAAGCUUAAGACGCGCACUCAGGUACAACACAAGAAAAACGAGACACAGACAAAUAUUCCAUCAAGGCUACAUACAAGGUAGAAGAAAAUUUUGAAUUCAACAGGCACCACUGAAUAAUAAAUACCAAAUGCCCAAAUAAGAUUCAAGCCUCCUACACUUAGUGUGCAGCAUCUGUGAAAAAAUACAGCUUAGAGCUGGACUCCAGCUGCAAGGAUACCCCUCAAGAGUGGCUUCCAACAGUUCAUACCUAACCUAAAUUCAACUCCAUAAUAUAUCAGAUGACAAGGUAACAGAAAGUUGAUUAGUUAUCAGUUGUCUGAAAAGGAGUCCCAACAUUACCUUAAAUAUGAGCUCCUUGGUUAUACUUGGAAUUGUGGAAUAGCAGAGAAACACCACAUGUAUUUCAUAUGAAACACAUGUAAUCAAGUGGACAGCCCCAAAAUUAUCAUAGCUUCUCCAUAUUAUUAUGUUUGAACUGGAGAAAGAAGAGAAAUGUGGCUCCAAAAGCAAACACUACAGAGUAGAGGACCUGAGCAAAAGGUAUGUGAACACUGGAGCACUUCAAAUGAUUCUUCAUUUCAUCUUUGUCUAAGAUCAUGUCACUGACCUCAGAAGGCAAAAGGUAUGUGGACAAAUGAGGAGCACUUCAAAUUUGUAACAUCAGAUACCUACUAGAUCUUGAUCAUUCAACCAAACUAACUGCAAAAGCACCCGAGACUUGUUCAUUUCUUCAAGAUUAUCUAAACUCCAUGGUGUUUUAUUUUACCACAGAACUUCCAAGAAAAUGGGGAGAUUCAGAAUCUGAUAAAUCCUCCCCUAAUUCUAUCAUCUUGAAAUUGAAAGUACGGCACAACCCUUUCUUUUCUUUUUUUUUUUUGGAGCCUUCAUUUUUACUUCAUUCAUCCAACCUUUAGAUCAUUUGACAUCCAACCAUCAUUCUGAUAUGCUUAGUUACAUAAAUGAAGGUAGAGACAAAAGAACUUCAACUUACUAGCAAAAGGUGGCACAGUUCUAGCAAACACUGAAGGGAAAGAUCAAAUAAAACAUCAGAGCAUGACAGCAGUGAAGUGACAUAAUUCAAGUGUUUCUAGCUUAGCUUAACUAAUUGCACUGAAUUUUUUAGUAACGCAAAGAAGUGCAUAACCUCAAUAAUCCACUCUGAUAUCAUUACACUUGGAUUUUAUAUCUGCAUUCUUUAUUAGAACAAAUCCCCAUAAGUUCAUGACAAACUAAUCAACGACAAAAAAAUCAAUAAAUAAUUUUCUAAUGACAACAAUUUAUUUCCCCUGGAAAAUCAAGGAACAAAAAGAUUUAAUAAAAAAUAUCAACAAACUUCUUUCAAGAUCCCCAAAAAAAUAAA